UUUCCGUAGGUGAACCUGCGGAAGGAGCAGUAUUGUAUAACCGAGGAGGGAGGGCUGUCGCUGACCCGACAGUGCGUGCACGCCCGAGAGCGAUCACACACAUCCAUCUCACCCCUAUGUGCACCACCGCGUGGGUCCCCCUUUGGCUUGUUCGGGGGGGGUUUUACGGUAUUACUGAAACUUUGGAGGGCGUGUGGAGUGUAUUAUUUGUUUUUGCGAAUACGCAAUCAAUACAACUUUCAACAAUGGAUCCCAGGGUUCUCGCAUCGAUGAAGAAAG
rnacentral:misc_RNA from 1 species